rnacentral:rRNA from 1 species
GACGAACGCUGGCGGCGUGCUUAACACAUGCAAGUCGAGCGGAAAGGCCCUUUCGGGGGUACUCGAGCGGCGAACGGGUGAGUAACACGUGAGUAAUCUGCCCUGGACUCUGGGAUAGCCACCGGAAACGGUGAUUAAUACCGGAUAUGACACCUUGCUGCGUGGGGGGGUGUGGAAAGUUUUUUCGGUCCAGGAUGUGCUGGCGGCCUAUCAACGUGUUGGUGGGGUAAGGGCUCACCAAGGCUGUGACGGGUAGGCGGCCCGAGUGGGUGAACGGGCACACUGGGACUGAGACACGGCGCAGUAUCCUACGGGAGGCAGCAGUGGGGAAUAUUGGACAAUGGGCGGAAGCCUGAUCCAGCAACGCCGCGUGAGGGAUGACGGCCUUCGGGUUGUAAACCUCUUUCAGUACCGACGAAGCGAAAGUGACGGUAGGUACAGAAGAAGGACCGGCCAACUACGUGCCAGCCGCCGCUGUAAGAC